rfam:Pseudomonas entomophila str. L48 chromosome,complete sequence.
UGACCAGGGGGCCGGGCCGUUCUGACUGUUGCAGGGUCGGAGUGGCCUAGGGGUACAAGGAGUACCUCCGCGAUGGGCCGGGUCAGGAGAGGG